rnacentral:rRNA from 1 species
CCAGACUCCUACGGGAGGCAGCAGUGAGGAAUAUUGGUCAAUGGGCGCGAGCCUGAACCAGCCAAGUCGCGUGAGGGAAGACGGUCCUAUGGAUUGUAAACCUCUUUUGUCGGGGAGCAAAAGACGCCACGCGUGGCGUUCCGAGAGUACCCGAAGAAAAAGCAUCGGCUAACUCCGUGCCAGCAGCCGCGGUAAUACGGAGGAUGCGAGCGUUAUCCGGAUUUAUUGGGUUUAAAGGGUGCGCAGGCGGAAUGUCAAGUCAGCGGUAAAAUUUCGGGGCUCAACCCCGUCGUGCCGUUGAAACUGGCAUUCUUGAGUGAGCGAGAAGUAUGCGGAAUGCGUGGUGUAGCGGUGAAAUGCAUAGAUAUCACGCAGAACUCCGAUUGCGAAGGCAGCGUACCGGCGCCCAACUGACGCUGAAGCACGAAGGCGUGGGUAUCGAACAGGAUUAGAUACCCCGGUA